rnacentral:piRNA from 1 species
UUCGCAGGGUUCUACUGCCAGUGUCGGUC